rnacentral:rRNA from 1 species
UGGGGAAUAUUGCACAAUGGGCGCAAGCCUGAUGCAGCGACGCCGCGUGAGGGAUGACGGCCUUCGGGUUGUAAACCUCUUUCACCAGAGACGAAGCGCAAGUGACGGUAUCUGGGGAAGAAGCACCGGCCAACUACGUGCCAGCAGCCGCGGUAAUGCGUAGGGUGCGAGCGUUGUCCGGAAUUACUGGGCGUAAAGAGCUCGUAGGUGGUCUGUCGCGUCGUUCGUGAAAUUUCACAGCUCAACUGUGGGCGUGCGAGCGGUACGGGCAGACCGGAGUACUGUAGGGGAGACUGGAAUUCCUGGUGUAGCGGUGGAAUGCGCAGAUAUCAGGAGGAACACCGGUGGCGAAGGCGGGUCUCUGGGCAGUAACUGACGCUGAGGAGCGAAAGCGAGGGGAGCGAACAGGAUCAGAUACCCUGGUAGUCCACGCCGUAAACGGUGGGUACUAGGUGUGGGUUUCCUUCCUUGGGAUCCGUGCCGUAGCUAACGCAUUAAGUACCCCGCCUGGGGAGUACGGCCGCAAGGCUA